rnacentral:rRNA from 1 species
UACGAAGGGGGCUAGCGUUGCUCGGAAUCACUGGGCGUAAAGCGCACGUAGGCGGCUCAUACAGUCAGAUGUGAAAUUCCUGGGCUUAACCUGGGGGCUGCAUUUGAUACGUGUGGGCUUGAGUGGGGAAGAGGGUCGUGGAAUUCCCAGUGUAGAGGUGAAAUUCGUAGAUAUUGGGAAGAACACCGGUGGCGAAGGCGGCGACCUGGUCCUUGACUGACGCUGAGGCGCGAAAGCGUGGGGAGCAAACAGG